rnacentral:snoRNA from 1 species
ACCUCAUGAUAAGGACAUCUCAUGUACAACUCUUAAAAUAUCUCCCAAGCUUCUGAUAAAGUCUCCCUAUCAUGUUGCACUAAAUUAGUAAUCUCAUUUCUCAUAU